rnacentral:rRNA from 1 species
AUUGAACGCUGGCGGCAUGCUUUACACAUGCAAGUCGAACGGUAACAGGCCUUCGGGUGCUGACGAGUGGCGCACGGGUGAGUAAUGCAUCGGAACGUGUCCAGAGGUGGGGGAUAACGCAGCGAAAGCUGUGCUAAUAUCGCAUGUGAUCUGAGGAUGAAAGCGGGGGACCAGGCAGCAAUGUUUGGCCUCGCGCCUUUGGAGCGGCCGAUGUCGGAUUAGGUAGUUGGUGGGGUAAAGGCCUACCAAGCCGACGAUCUGUAGCUGGUCUGAGAGGACGACCAGCCACACUGGGACUGAGACACGGCCCAGACUCCUACGGGAGGCAGCAGUGGGGAAUUUUGGACAAUGGGCGCAAGCCUGAUCCAGCCAUGCCGCGUGCGGGAAGAAGGCCUUCGGGUUGUAAACCGCUUUUGUUCGGAAAGAAAAGCUUCUGGCUAAUACCUCGGGGUGAUGACGGUACCGUAAGAAUAAGCACCGGCUAACUACGUG